GCUCAAAUUUGAAAUCUGGCCUUCGGGUCCGAAUUGUAAUUUGUAGAGGAUGCUUUUGGUUAGGUACUUUCCGAGUUCCCUGGAACGGGACGCCUUAGAGGGUGAGAGCCCCGUACGGUUGGAUACCGAGCCUCUGUAAAGCUCCUUCGACGAGUCGAGUAGUUUGGGAAUGCUGCUCUAAAUGGGAGGUAAAUUUCUUCUAAAGCUAAAUACUGGCCAGAGACCGAUAGCGCACAAGUAGAGUGAUCGAAAGAUGAAAAGCACUUUGAAAAGAGGGUUAAAUAGCACGUGAAAUUGUUGAAAGGGAAGCGUUUAUGACCAGACUUUUUCCAGGCGGAUCAUCCGGUGUUCUCACCGGUGCACUUCGUCUGGUGGAGGCCAGCAUCGGUUUCCGUAGCGGGAUAAAAGCGGUAGGAAUGUGACUCCCCCGGGAGUGUUAUAGCCUGCCGUAUAAUACCGCUAUAGGGACCGAGGUUCGCGCUCUGCAAGGAUGCUGGCGUAAUGGUCAUCAACGACCCGUCUUGAAACACGGACCAAGGAGUCGAACAUUUGUGCGAGUGUUUGGGUGUUAAACCCUCACGCGUAAUGAAAGUGAACGGAGGUGAGAGCCCUUACGGGUGCAUCAUCGACCGAUCCUGAUGUUUUCGGAUGGAUUUGAGUAAGAGCAUAACUGUUCGGACCCGAAAGAUGGUGAACUAUGCGUGGAUAGGGUGAAGCCAGAGGAAACUCUGGUGGAGGCUCGCAGCGGUUCUGACGUGCAAAUCGAUCGUCAAAUCUGCGCAUGGGGGCGAAAGACUAAUCGAACCAUCUAGUAGCUGGUUACCGCCGAAGUUUCCCUCAGGAUAGCAGUGUUGUCUUCAGUUUUAUGAGGUAAAGCGAAUGAUUAGGGACUCGGGGGCGCUUUUUAGCCUUCAUCCAUUCUCAAACUUUAAAUAUGUAAGAAGCCCUUGUUACUUAGUUGAACGUGGGCAUUCGAAUGUACCAACACUAGUGGGCCAUUUUUGGU
rnacentral:rRNA from 1 species